rnacentral:tRNA from 1 species
UGCGGGGUCGUCUAACCGGCAAGACGCCUGGUUCUGGCCCAGGAGAUUGCAGGUUCAAACCCUGCCCCUGCAGCCU